UACAGAGGGUGCAAGCGUUAAUCGGAAUUACUGGGCGUAAAGCGUGCGUAGGUGGUCUGCUAAGCCAGGUGUGAAAUCCUUGGGCUCAACCUGAGAAUUGCAUUUGAUACUGGUGGACUAGAGUGUGGUAGAGGGUAGUGGAAUUCCCGGUGUAGCGGUGAAAUGCGUAGAUAUCGGGAGGAACAUCAGUGGCGAAGGCGGCUACCUGGACCAACACUGACACUGAGGUACGAAAGCGUGGGGAGCAAACAGG
rnacentral:rRNA from 1 species